rnacentral:rRNA from 1 species
GACGAACGCUGGCGGCGUGCUUAACACAUGCAAGUCGAACGGAAAGGCCCUGCUUUUGUGGGGUGCUCGAGUGGCGAAAGGGUGAGUAACAAGUGAGGAACCUGCCCUUGACUUUGGGAUAACUUCAGGAAACUGGGGCUAAUAACGGAUAGGAGCUCCUGCUGCAUGGUGGGGGUUGGAAAGUUUCGGCGGUUGGGGAUGGACUCGCGGCUUAUCAGCUUGUUGGUGGGGUAGUGGCUUACCAAGGCUUUGACGGGUAGCCGGCCUGAGAGGGUGACCGGCCACAUUGGGACUGAGAUACGGCCCAGACUCCUACGGGAGGCAGCAGUGGGGAAUAUUGCACAAUGGGCGGAAGCCUGAUGCAGCAACGCCGCGUGCGGGAUGACGGCCUUCGGGUUGUAAACCGCUUUCGCCUGUGACGAAGCGUGAGUGACGGUAAUGGGUAAAGAAGCACCGGCUAACUACGUG